rnacentral:tRNA from 1 species
GGGAGCGCAUGCACACCUGGUGGUGGCCGCGGUCUUCAAAACCGUUGUGUCCUGGUUCUGCCCGGGCAGGUGGGUUCGAUUCCCACACGUUCCCG